GAUUUUUUAUUGCCCACAGACCAGGAGAUUCCCAGGUGAAAAAGCGCCACAAGUCUCCAGCGUGGCUGUUUCAGCCGGUGCAGUGGGUCUCCGCACAGGAAAUCACACAGUUCCAGGCGCCUUUUCAACAGGCGACUGGAAUGCCUGGGAGACAGAGUCGCCCAUUCAAUUGAUAAAAAGGGGACUGAAACAAGGAGCCAGGCCAACUGAAACAAGGAGCCAGGCCAGGAGAUUCAUGGGCAAAAAAGCACCCCGAGUCUCCAGCACCCGGCGCAGUGGGUCUCCAAACAAAAUCUCUCAAAAAUCCAGGUGUCUUUUCAACUGGUGACUAGAACGCCUGGGAGACAGAAUCACCCAUUCAACUAAAAAAAAGGGGAGUGAAACAGGGAGCCAGGCCAGGAGAUUCCUGGGCAAAAACGUGCCAUGAGUCUCCAGCACAGCUGUUUCAGCCAGCACGGUUGUUUCAUCCAGUGCAGCAGGUCUCCACACAAGAAAUCACAUACAUCUGGGUGCUGUUUCAACUGG